CCCCAGCCCUGGCCAGUAAGGCCCAGAGGGAAAACCUUUUCAGUUAAAAACCCCACACCGCGUUGCUCCUGGGCCGCAGGCGCUGCGUUGAGUGUGUGCGGCUGGGUGCGGGCUCGGCUGAGGAGCUCCGCUUUGCGGACCAAGUGGGUGGCGGCGGGGCGGGGACGGCAGCGCGCUGAAGCAGCCCUGCGCCCUGGCCAGUGCAUCCAGGAUCCUGAGCUGCCAGGGACCUGGCCACUCCCACCCGGAACCCUGCCUUGGCUGAACUGGUCACUGCUGCAUGUCCCGGUCUGCCGCCCUGCCUGUCAUCUGCAGUGCACAGGUAUGCAUGUGUGUGGUGCAUAUACAUAUGCACCACACACAUACCAUGCCCACCUCAUACUGCACAUGUACCAUGCCCACCUCACACACCCCACACACGUACUCCAUGUAUACCACACACAACACACAUAUACCCACCUGAUACACCCCACACUACAUAAUACCUUGUCCGCCUCACACACCCCACUUAACCCAUAUAUACCACACAUACAUCACACAUAUACCAUGCCCACCUCACACUAUACAUAUAUCAUACCCACCUAACACACAUACCCCAUACACACAACACACAUACCCACCUCACAUACCACAUAUAUACCAUGCCCACCUCACAGACCACACACUUAACUUAUAUACACCACAACCACCACACCUACUACCUU